rnacentral:rRNA from 1 species
CACGGGGGGAGCAAGCGUUGUUCGGAUUCAUUGGGCGUAAAGGGCUCGUAGGCGGUUUGUCGCGUCGGGAGUGAAAUCCACUGGCUUAACUGGUGGCUUGCUUUCGAUACGGGCAGACUGGAGGUAUGCAGGGGAGAACGGAAUUCCUGGUGUAGCGGUGAAAUGCGCAGAUAUCAGGAGGAACACCGGUGGCGAAGGCGGUUCUCUGGGCAUGUCCUGACGCUGAGGAGCGAAAGUGUGGGGAGCGAACAGG